CCCGCACAAGCGGUGGAGCAUGUGGUUUAAUUCGAUGAUACGCGAGGAACCUUACCUGGGCUCAAAUGUAUGUUGACGUAUUCUGAAAGGGAUACUUCUUCGGACAAUAUACAAGGUGCUGCAUGGUUGUCGUCAGCUCGUGCCGUGAGGUGUCGGGGUUAAGUCCCAUAACGAGCGCAACCCCUAUCAUUAGUUGCCAUCAGGUCAAGCUGGGGACUCUAAUGAAACUGCCUACGCAAGUAGUGAGGAAGGUGGGGAUGACGUCAAAUCAGCACGGCCCUUACGUCCAGGGCUACACACGUGCUACAAUGGCCGAUACAGAGGGCAGCUACCUGGUGACAGGAUGCAAAUCUCCAAAGUCGGUCUCAGUUCGGAUCGGAGUCUGCAACCCGACUCCGUGAAGUUGGAUUCGCUAGUAAUCGCGCAUCAGCCAUGGCGCGGUGAAUACGUUCCCGGGCCUU
rnacentral:rRNA from 1 species